UACGAAGGGUGCAAACGUUGCUCGGAAUCAUUGGGCGUAAAGCGCACGUAGGCGGCCAUGUAAGUUGGAUGUGAAAUCCCUCGGCUCAACUGAGGACGUGCAUACGAAACUGCAAGGCUCGAGUAUGGAAGAGGGUCGCGGAAUUCCCGGUGUAGAGGUGAAAUUCGUAGAUAUCGGGAGGAACACCAGUGGCGAAGGCGGCGACCUGGGCCAAUACUGACGCUGAGGUGCGAAAGCGUGGGGAGCAAACAGG
rnacentral:rRNA from 1 species